GGAAGGACUGAGCAGAACAUUGCUUUAGAAUGAAAUCCAGACAUGUCUUCGUAGAGCUGAUCUGAGACUCAGUCCAAAACUACUGACUUAGAACACACACAGAAUUACACCCAAAGAAGGCAAAGGGAGGACUUGGCUGUGAAUUUCACAGGCUACCACCUGCAUUCUACCCUGUGUACAAACACCACGUGCCCAGGGAUAGCAGCAGCAGCACUGCACCAAGAGAAGAGAAGAGAAGACACAGCUUGGCGACAAAAGGUCACGAGAACUGCCUCAGCUCUGCAGCAAAAGA